rnacentral:rRNA from 1 species
AGCGAACGCUGGCGGCAUGCUUAACACAUGCAAGUCGAGGGGCAGCGGGGACAGCAAUGUCUGCCGGCGACCGGCAAACGGGUGCGGAACACGUACACAACCUUCCUUUUGGUGGGGGAUAGCCCAGAGAAAUUUGGAUUAAUACCCCGUAGGAUAACGAUGAGGCAUCUUAUUGUUAUUAAAGAUUUAUUGCCAGGAGAUGGGUGUGCGUCUGAUUAGGUAGUUGGUAGGGGAACGGCCCACCAAGCCUGCGAUCAGUAACUGGUGUGAGAGCACGACCAGUCACACGGGCACUGAGACACGGGCCCGACUCCUACGGGAGGCAGCAGUAAGGAAUAUUGGUCAAUGGACGCAAGUCUGAACCAGCCAUGCCGCGUGGAGGAUGAAGGUCCUCUGGAUUGUAAACUUUCUUUUAUCUGGGAAGAAUGCUAUUUUUCUAAAGUUGUUUGACGGUUACCAGAUGAAUAAGCACCGGCUAACUCCGUGCCAGCA